rnacentral:rRNA from 1 species
AACACGUGAGUAACCUGCCCUUGACUCUGGGAUAAGCCUGGGAAACUGGGUCUAAUACCGGAUACGACCAUCUGGCGCAUGUCAUGGUGGUGGAAAGCUUUUGUGGUUUUGGAUGGACUCGCGGCCUAUCAGCUUGUUGGUGGGGUAAUGGCCUACCAAGGCGACGACGGGUAGCCUGCCUGAGAGGGUGGCCGGCCACACUGGGACUGAGACACGGCCCAGACUCCUACGGGAGGCAGCAGUGGGGAAUAUUACACAAUGGGCGCAAGCCUGAUGCAGCGACGCCGCGUGAGGGAUGACGGCCUUCGGGUUGUAAACCUCUUUCAGUAGGGAAGAAGCGAAAGUGACGGUACCUGCAGAAGAAGCGCCGGCUAACUACGUGCCAGCAGCCGCGGUAAUACGUAGGGCGCAAGCGUGAUCCGGAAUUAUUGGGCGUAAAGAGCUCGUAGGCGGUUUGUCGCGUCUGCUGUGAAAGACCGGGGCUCAACUCCGGUUCUGCAGUGGGUACGGGCAGACUAGAGUGCAGUAGGGGAGACUGGAAUUCCUGGUGUAGCGGUGAAAUGCGCAGAUAUCAGGAGG